GGCGAACGCUGGCGGCAGGCUUAACACAUGCAAGUCGAGCGGGCACUUUCGGGUGUCAGCGGCGGACGGGUGAGUAACGCGUGGGAACGUGCCCUCUGGUUCGGAAUAACUCAGGGAAACUUGAGCUAAUACCGGAUACGCCCUUUUGGGGAAAGGCUUGCUGCCGGAGGAUCGGCCCGCGUCUGAUUAGCCAGUUGGUGAGGUAACGGCUCACCAAGGCGACGAUCAGUAGCUGGUCUGAGAGGAUGAUCAGCCACACUGGGACUGAGACACGGCCCAGACUCCGACGGGAAGCAGCAGUGGGGGAUAGUGAAGAAUGCGUGGGUGUCUGAGCCCUCCAUGCCGCGUGAGUGAUGAAGGGCUUCGGGUGGUAAAGGUCUGUUAUAAGGGAGGACAAGCAGGGUCGCGGAGAAAUAAGACCCGGCUAAAUUCGUG
rnacentral:rRNA from 1 species